rnacentral:pre_miRNA from 9 species
UCUCGAUAGCGUAAAAGUAAACUCAAAUUUGUAUGGAGUUGGAACGCUUGCCUACGUUUGCCGCUGGGGGCGUUGUCCAACUGCAUACAAAUUUGAGUUAACUUUAACGCUAUCGA